AAAAUGUUUCUUCCCUUCAUAAGCACUUAUGAGAAGUGCUUUUUCAUUCUAAAAAACACUUAUUUUUAAAAGUCAUUUUCUCUACUCUCCUGAUCAUCAUGAAACAAUGCUACCAAAUAAUCAAUCAAUUGAUUCACUCCCAAAGAAUGAUUCACUCCCAAUGAAUGAUAAGGAAUUACCGGAAAAAAAUAUGAAUGACGGGGUGACGGGAUUCCGGCUGGGGGACGUUUCCGACGACACGUCCAAUUUGUGGAGCCGCGGAAGUCGAGAUUGAGAGGUGCGGCGGAGCUAUGAGGUAAGCGUGGAGGUCGCGGGGGAGUUUCAAGGUUGUUCUAGCGUUUUCGUCGACAAAUCCGGCGCCUCCUUUCUUGGUCCGCAAAGUAUUCACUCAAAUAUUCUCAUUCAUCGAUGUUCAAUUAUUCAAUAGUCUUCUGCUGCGCCGCGAGUGUUGUUCAUUCAGCAAUGGGGAGUAUGUGAAGACAGGUUUGGCUGAAUUAGAACAGUGGUGCAUUGAGGCAACUGAAGAGUACACUGGCUCGGCGUGGGAGGAACUAAAACAUAUCAGGCAGGCAGUUGGAUUCCUGGUAACUUUCAGCUGUCAUACAUAUUCAAAUUCAAUUCAAUAAGGAGCUUUGUCCUGUGAGUGCUUUCAUAAUUGUUAUAAGAAUAUAUAUAAAACAUAUCUAAUGACCCUUUUUAAU